rnacentral:rRNA from 1 species
UACAGAGGUCUCAAGCGUUGUUCGGAUUCAUUGGGCGUAAAGGGUGCGUAGGCGGCGCGGUAAGUCGGGUGUGAAAUCUCGGAGCUUAACUUCGAAACUGCAUUCGAUACUGCCUUGCUUGAGGACUGGAGAGGAGACUGGAAUUUACGGUGUAGCGGUGAAAUGCGUAGAUAUCGUAAGGAAGACCAGUGGCGAAGGCGGGUCUCUGGACAGUUCCUGACGCUGAGGCACGAAGGUCAGGGGAGCAAACGGG